rnacentral:rRNA from 1 species
UUUAAAGUCUGACCUGCCCAAUGAUUAGUUUGAAUGGCCGCGGUAUUUUGACCGUGCAAAGGUAGCAUAAUAAUUAGUUUUUUAAUUGAAAACUGGAAUGAAUGGUUGAACGAGAAAAUAACUGUCUCAAUUUAAUUUAUUAUGAAUUUUAUUUUUAAGUUAAAAAGCUUAAAUAUAACUUAAAGACGAGAAGACCCUAUAGAGUUUAAUAUUUUUACUUUAUAUAUUAGUUUAGUAUUAUAUUUAUAUCUAGAGUUAUAUAUUUUGUUGGGGUGACAGGAAAACUGAUUAAACUUUUCUUUUUUAAAAACAUUGAUUUAUGGUUAAUUGAUCCGUAAUUUACGAUUAUAAGAUUAAAUUACCUUAGGGAUAACAGCGUAAUUUUUUUUGAGAGUUCUUAUCGAAAAAAUAGUUUGCGACCUCGAUGUUGGAUUAAAAU